rnacentral:rRNA from 1 species
CAGCGGCGGACGGGUGAGUAAUGCCUAGGAAUCUGCCUGGUAGUGGGGGACAACGUUUCGAAAGGAACGCUAAUACCGCAUACGUCCUACGGGAGAAAGCAGGGGACCUUCGGGCCUUGCGCUAUCAGAUGAGCCUAGGUCGGAUUAGCUAGUUGGUGGGGUAAUGGCUCACCAAGGCGACGAUCCGUAACUGGUCUGAGAGGAUGAUCAGUCACACUGGAACUGAGACACGGUCCAGACUCCUACGGGAGGCAGCAGUGGGGAAUAUUGGACAAUGGGCGAAAGCCUGAUCCAGCCAUGCCGCGUGUGUGAAGAAGGUCUUCGGAUUGUAAAGCACUUUAAGUUGGGAGGAAGGGCAGUAAGCUAAUACCUUGCUGUUUUGACGUUACCGACAGAAUAAGCACCGGCUAACUCUGUGCCAGCAGCCGCGGUAAUACAGAGGGUGCAAGCGUUAAUCGGAAUUACUGGGCGUAAAGCGCGCGUAGGUGGUUCGUUAAGUUGGAUGUGAAAGCCCCGGGCUCAACCUGGGAACUGCAUCCAAAACUGGCGAGCUAGAGUACGGUAGAGGGUGGUGGAAUUUCCUGUGUAGCGGUGAAAUGCGUAGAUAUAGGAAGGAACA